GCUCAAUGGGUAGCGCCAUUCUUAUUCCAGCAGUCUCGUGGCAAAGAUUAGUGAGGAGUGCAUCCCCAAAGAGAAAGAGAAAAACUAUGCUUUUUCCGUGCACAUCACUUUCUCGAGCUGCUUUCUCUCCUGAGGUGCGCAUGGCAAUCACUCAACGACGUAAUUGCGUUUUAGUAAAUUCUGCUGCAAGGUGUCGAACAAUAAUUAUAUUUGAUUAAACUUGAUGAAACCCGGUAAUGGCAACGCUACGCAACUACGUCAUGACGCCGCUUGUGCAUUCAAACAAUGGCGUCUGGGAAAUUCUUUGUCAUUCGAAUGUGAGAAAGGUACUGCAUACCCUAAGCCUCAGCAACGGCGAUAUUACUGAACGAAAGGAAACAAUAGCAGUUUUACGAAGCUCCCAAGCUUACUGCAGAAAAUAUCAUUGAGUCGAUAAGAUGAGUAUUUUUUACUUUCUAUUUUUUAAUAUUCAACAAAGACAUAAUCUUAAAAGCAUGUUAACUCUGUGACAUGUAAGUUUUAUUGUUUCAUUGAAUGCCUUUAGAUAAAUGUGUUAAUGAUAUAUUGAUUAUAUCGUUACUAUAUUUAUAUUAUAUGAUUAUAGCAUUAAUGACUAAUGUUGCAUUUUGAAAAAUAUUUUACUAUAAGAAAAUAUGUUAAGAUUAUGUCUAAUUAAUUUUUUUAACAGGGUUCUUUGUACAAUUAAAAAGAUAAAGUUAGUAAAUUUUAUAUGCAUAAGAGUUUGCUACAAUAUCUAAUAUUGUGUAAUUGUCAUCAUCAAUUAUUGCUUUAUUAAGUUAUCAUAAUAAAAUAGUAAAUUAAUAAGUCUAUACCAUAUUUUUGAGUAUGCAAGUUACAUUUAGCUAAUACAAAUUUUCUAUAUAUACUUAAGCAAAUUUUAAUUAUACUUAAAUUGUUAUUUUUAGUUGCUAUGAAUGUUGAAAAAUACAAAAUGACUACAAACACAGUAUCUGGAACAAAUGAGCUUUGAUACUAAAUACUUAUUUUAUGAUAGCUUUCAUAUUAACCAAUAAAUACCCAUUUUGAAAAAUGUAUCCAUGUAUUUCCCUCCAUUUCCAAUUGUUUAUAAAAAAGUAUUUAGACAAAUUAACAUGUUAGAAUAUCAAAAAACUAAUUGCAGUGAUCAAUUUUAUAAGAAAAAUGAGGAAGAAAAUCUCUGGUAUCUUUUUAUCAUGUCAUUUUUUUGUCAUAAGAUCACUAUACAUAAUUAGAAAUUUUCAAAUUUUGUUAUUUAGAAAAACCAAUUAUGCCAAUUAAAAAAUCAAAAUACAAACUUCUAUGGUGUAUUUUUUUGUCAGGCUGUUUGAUGUAAAAACAUACCAACAAUCUGAAGUAGUGAAGCCAGUGAUAUUUGUCGAUUGGCAUCAUUUGUUUUUCAAAAUAAAAUUUGUUUGAUAAUCCUCAAUUGUUUAAAACGAUUUUACAUUAAUAAAAUGGUGUCUGAUGAAAACACUCUAAAUAGAUUUGCUGUUUGUUAUUUUUGUAGAAUUUAUUGAUGCAAUAAAUUACUGACAUUUUGAAUAAUAGGUUUAAAUACAAUUUUAUAAACAUGUAAAAAUAGAAUAAGGAAAAACAUGGAUACUUUUUUUAUUGAUGGCACUGAUGGUAUAGCUAGUUUGAAGUUGUCUAGUCCAGAUUCAGAUUGGGUAUUAUAGUAUCAAACAUUUCCAUGUAACAUUAAAUUGCUUAUCGUUUGCAACAUUUUGGUGUACAUUUUCAAAUAGAUUGCAUUUCAAAACUUUGUGCUAAUUACUUUAAUAUCUUUAAAAAAUAAUUAUAUACUAAAUUUUACAUAACAAUUUUGAUGACUUAUAACUUCUAAGGAGACUGUCUAGUGGGUGAGCACUUUGCAUGCAAUAGUUAUUUCAUACGUGAAAAUGGUGUCCUUAGCAAACUUUUGAUAAAUAAACAUAAAGAUUUACCAUCUUGAAAUGCUCGCUCCUUUCCACUUGAAUAUAAUAAACUCUUGUCUGUGUAUAAAUAACUCUUUGGUUUUAUACAUUUUUUAGGUUUUAAUUUUAUUGUUGAUUUCUUUAUAAUCUUUGGAUUUACUUAUAACGUUAGUCUUUGAUGUUGGAAUUUGGUAUACAUAAUUAAGACAUAUUAUCAUCAAGAUUUUUUCUGUCUUCUAUGCAAUCUUGAUAGCAAAUAAUAUGACAGAUAGAAGAUUGGGUUCUUUGAUUUCGUUACCUAAUUGCAGAUAAUAGAGUUGGAUGUUUAAAUUAAAUUAAAUGAAAAUAAUGGUUAACUAUCUCAUUUGGUUAAUCAUAAAUUUGUGAAAGAGCUAGUGUAUGUCUGUGCAUAUACACUUAUCUAUCCGCGAUUGGUCUUGUGUUCAUUACUUGAAUACGUCCUGAAUUUGAAUUGGCCUCAUACUUGAUGUGAAAUAUAACAGUAAAAAGUCAAUCUUUUCUACCAAAUUUACAAAAUUAAUUUUUUACGGGCAUUGGAACCUCAUAAAGAAGUUUUGACUUCAUAUCCUUUCAUCAAGAGUUAAGACAUGUAUGAUGAACGCACAAUUUUUUAUCAUAACUUCUUACUUUUAAUUUCUUAGAUAAUUUAUUUUCCAAUGAUUGUAAUGUAUUAAUAUGAAAAACGUUUAAUGUAUCGUCAAUCUUCUUGAUAUUGUUACUUAUUCAGAAUUUUGAAGUGACAAAAUUAAAAUAACAAUGGUUAGUUUUAUUUCCAGGUUGAUAAUAUGCAUUGGUUCUAACUAUUUUUUAAAAACUAAAAAAGUUGAUUCUAUUAAGAUAACGAAAAGAUUUAAUCGAUUGUUUCAUUUCACUCUCGUGCAAAUGCUAUUAAGCUGAGUAAGAUGCAAGACUGAUCAAUUUACAUUGGUAAAGGUGUUUUCAAAUAUUUUACUUAUUCCUAUAACCGAUUUCCAUUCUCAUUCUAAUGGUUUAAAUAUAAGAUAGAUCUUUUCUUGUAUAUUAUAGUUCAAUCGUUCGGUUACCGCGAUCUGACGCUAUAUAUUUUUCAUCAAAGCUUAUUGUACUCACACUAGUAACAUAGUCUGCCAAAGUCUGAAUCAGCUUAAUCUUAGUAUAUAAUGUUAUACUUUUGUUGUUACGGUCUUGCAGAAAGUUACAAGUACCUUAUUAUUGUAUUGAAGUUUGAAUAUGGAAUUUUUAUGGCAAUGCAAAAAUUUAAUCCGCUUUAUCGAAAAUAAAUUCCAUGGUCCGAUGAGCCCAACCUUGCCAUUAAAAAUUUUAAACACAAAAUGUAUUCAUUCAGCGCUGUUGGUGUCUUGGUAAUUAUACAUUCAUUCGGAUCCCAAAUGUUGAUUAUAUUACUGGUCACUAGAUUUUGAAAUUCCUUUUUUAGUAUACUAUUGUGAAUCAAAACUUUUUUGUUGUAAAUGCUGCUUUUAUACUUCAUUGUUUAUAUGCAUUUUUUAAAGAGAUAUAGCUUUUUAUGUACAAUCAUUUAUAAUACAACUAAAAUGUUUUGACGAUUUGAUUUGAUCUGUAUUUUAGAUGUAAUUUAGAAACUCUAUUAUCGCAGAAGAAAACAAAAAAUAAUAAUAGACAAAAAAAAAUAAUAGACAAAAAAAAUAAUAGACAAAAAAAAAUAAUAAAAAAACAAUAAUAAAAAACAAUAAUAAAAAAAAUAGUAUUGAAAAAAAAGGAAAGGAACAAAAAAAUGUAGAUUA